GAUGAAGAACGCAGCAAAAUGUGAUAAGUAAUGUGAAUUGCAGAAUUCAGUGAAUCAUCGAAUCUUUGAACGCACAUUGCGCCCGCCAGUAUUCUGGCGGGCAUGCCUGUUCGAGCGUCAUUUCAACCCUCAAGCACAGCUUGGUGUUGGGACUCGCGUUAAUUCGCGUUCCUCAAAUUGAUUGGCGGUCACGUCGAGCUUCCAUAGCGUAGUAGUAAAACCCUCGUUACUGGUAAUCGUCGCGGCCACGCCGUUAAACCCCAACUUCUGAAUGUUGACCUCGGAUCAGGUAGGAAUACCCGCUGAACUUAAGCAUAUCAAUAGCGGAGGA
rnacentral:misc_RNA from 1 species